AUAAAGUUUAAUUCUAGUUUAAAAAAUUAUUUAAUUUUUUUUUUAUAUGUAAAUUUUUGUGUGAAUAGUAGAAAAAUUUAAAUAAUUUUUUUAUAAAAUUUUAUUUGCAGUAUUUAAUAUUAUAGAUUUAAGAAAUUAAGAUUUAGAAAUAUAUUUUAUUAUUGACAAAUUUUGUGCCAGCAGUUGCGGUUAAACAAAAGAUAAAAAUAAUUUAAAUUUUAGUUUAUAAUUAUAUGUAUAUUAAAUUAAUUUAUAAUUAUAUUUAUUAAGUGAAAUUUUAAAUAUAAAUUAUGAUUUUUUAAAAAUUUUUAUUAUUGUGAAAUUUUUUUUAAAACUAGGAUUAGAUACCCUAUUAUUUUAAGUGUUAAUAUAAAAACUAAAUUAUUAAUAGUUAUGUUCUUUAAAGUUAAAGAUUUUGGCGGUAUUUUAGUCUAUUCAGAGGAACCUGUCCUGUAAUUGAUAGUCCACGAUUAACUUUACUUAAUUUUUUUAAGCUUGUAUAUCGUUGUUUAUAGAAAAUUUUAUAAGAAUAAUAAUUUUUAAUAAAUUUAAUUAAAUUAUAAAUCAAAUCAAGGUGCAGUUUAUGGUUAAGAAGAGAUGGGUUACAAUAAAUUUAUUUAUUAAUGAAUUUUUAAUUUAAAGAUUGAGAUGAAGGAGGAUUUGAUAGUAAUAUUAUUUAAUUAAAUGAUUUGAUUUUAGCUCUAAAAUAUGUACAUAUUGCCCGUCGCUCUUAUUAUAAAAUAAGAUAAGUCGUAACAUAGUAGAUGUACUGGAAAGUGUAUCUAGAAUGA
rnacentral:ncRNA from 1 species